rnacentral:rRNA from 1 species
ACCUGCGGAGGGAUCAUUACCGAGUUUACAACUCCCAAACCCCUGUGAACAUACCACUUGUUGCCUCGGCGGAUCAGCCCGCUCCCGGUAAAACGGGACGGCCCGCCAGAGGACCCCUAAACUCUGUUUCUAUAUGUAACUUCUGAGUAAAACCAUAAAUAAAUCAAAACUUUCAACAACGGAUCUCUUGGUUCUGGCAUCGAUGAAGAACGCAGCAAAAUGCGAUAAGUAAUGUGAAUUGCAGAAUUCAGUGAAUCAUCGAAUCUUUGAACGCACAUUGCGCCCGCCAGUAUUCUGGCGGGCAUGCCUGUUCGAGCGUCAUUUCAACCCUCAAGCACAGCUUGGUGUUGGGACUCGCGUUAAUUCGCGUUCCCCAAAUUGAUUGGCGGUCACGUCGAGCUUCCAUAGCGUAGUAGUAAAACCCUCGUUACUGGUAAUCGUCGCGGCCACGCCGUUAAACCCCAACUUCUGAAUGUUGACCUCGGAUCAGGUAGGAAUACCCGCUGAACUUAAGCAUAUCAA